AGAUUGAACGCUGGCGGCAUGCCUAACACAUGCAAGUCGAACGGGAGUAGCAAUACUCUAGUGGCGGACGGGUGAGGAAUACGUAGGAAUUUGCCCUUAAGUGGGGGAUAACCCGGGGAAACCCGGAUUAAUACCCGCAUGACCUCGAAAGAGCAAAGUGGGGGAUCGCAAGACCUCACGCUUUUGGAGAAGCCUACGUCGGAUUAGCUAGUUGGUGAGGUAAUGGCUCACCAAGGCGACGAUCCCGUAACUGGUCU
rnacentral:rRNA from 1 species